rnacentral:rRNA from 1 species
AUGGUUUCAUCUAUCUAUCUCUGGUGGAUGCAGUUACAAAAUAAUAGCGCAGAGCUUCCUAUUCAGAGAACAACAAAUAUGGAUGCAAUCAUACACACAUGGAGGAUCAAUUUCCAUGUACUGAUCAACCACAGAAGCUCAUACUGUAUCAUGGAUGAUCCUAGUAGUAUUUUCACUUGGCUACUAACAAUGGCAGCAAUACCUCUAGUCGUCCGUCCACCACACUUCAUGUCCGAUUCACAAAAGCAAACCAAAAAUAGCAUCCCUCGUCAUCGCAGAUCCCGGACUACCGUCGAUCCCAUUGUUGCAUUUUUGGAUAUAAACUGGGAAGGAAACCAACCUGUGAAACUGAAACUAAUGUACCAAAAACAACAGUUUUUUGCGCGUGCAUAUACAGUUGAACUUCAGACAUCAAAAUCACUUAGAGAAUAG